AAUACUAGUUUUUUAAACCUUACAAUCUGAUGGGCAUCAAUUCAAAAGUAAUAACAAAAAGAAAAAAAAUUAUUUUUUUACAAUGGGAAAUAGGUGUCACUUUAAAAGAGGAGAGGGCAGGAUUUUUAGAUUUUGUAAUUCGUCACAAAAAAAUCUGAAACCCUAACAGUGCUGGUCUCCCGGGUAUGUUCAACAGUGACCAUGCCCGUCCGCCGUUCUUUCCCAGGACUAAACGAACUAUAGAGACACAGAAGGGGGGCGAAAUGGAAGGCAAAGGUCAAAGAGAGAGGAACGAGUCCUCGUCUGAUUCACGGCAAACAGGCAUGAGAAGUAUGUGGCCCAGUGUAGGGCAGUUUUUGUUGUCAACUGCAAGAACAAGGGCGAUCAAAUGUGGCAGCGAAGUUGUCUAAAACAAAAUAGGGGGAAACCAGAGAAGAAUCCGGUGAAAACCUAGCAGGCCCAAGUGGCGUUGAAUCAUUUAAGCAAGUUUGCUGCUCAGUUUGCUCAACAGAUGGAGUCAUCGACAGUGAUGAGGUUGAUCAUUUUUUCAAUGUUCUUCCUAGUGAGUGUUGAUAUGCUCUGAUUCAUUUCUGGUUUAUGGGGUGAAGUAAUCAAUCCAGCAGGAGUGCUGGUGCAUGAUGUGUAUAAAUGGUUGGUUCUAUAUGUUACCUCUCUGAGGUCUAGUCUAUUUUGUAUAACUUCUCCAUGGGUCUUUUAGAUGAAAUCAAUCGAGCAGGAGUUCUGGUCAUGGAGAUCAAA